UAGAAAGCACAUAGAACCAAAACAAACCGUAAUAAUUCCGACGGAAAAACAGCGAGAAAAGAAACCGAAAUGAAACUGACACUAAGCAAACCGUACAGAGAAUUAGCCCUACAGAUCGCAGGGAUUAAAGAGCGCUUCAGGGGCCAAGAGCCAUCUGUGUCCGGGAAAUGAGCAUUGGUGCCACCAGGAAACUGUCCGCUAGGGCUCGGCACUACUAAGGACCUCGCUAACAAUAAUCUGGCGGCGCUGGGACUCAGCAAGAACAGACACCCAGCGGAUUGCCCUGGUGAUACCAAACAUGUCCAUAAAUGGUGCUGCUAGAAAGAAACUGCGGGCUCUUAGAUAGGACUCCUGUCUGGAGAAAUGAGCUGACUGUGUUUAAGUGUGUUGUGACAGAAAAAUGUGUUGUGGCAUCUUACUGUGUUUUAAGUCCUUUAAUAUGUUUUAACCCGUUGUAAUGUGUUGUGAGAGAAAAAGCCCCGGCUAACGGUACUGUGGAAUUACUAGAGAGCACAGCGGCUGGGUGCAGUCACCGGUCUGCACCGUAAAAAGGGGUUCAGGAAGUUCCUACGAGACAUUAGCGUUGCUAGGACCCAGAAAGAGACAGCACAGAGAAUUUACGGGCCCCGAGAACGUGAAACGACCUGUUGGGCGCUAAGAACGGUGCACCAACUGAGAAAACGCCCAGUGGGCGCUACUGGCAAAAGUGCUGACCCAAAACCGACAGCUCCGCAUAAGAAGCGGAGUCGCCAGACAGAACCCGGAAACUGGCAGCAGCAAGGCUGAGACCGAGAUCGGCUCCCCGCGUCCUGAGCAUGCAAGUCAAGGAGCACGAAGCUGAGACAUUUAAAAUCAGUAGAAAAAAAUACAUAACAUUUGAAUAGAAAUACAAUUUAAAAAUAAUAGAAGCCUAAAAUGCAAAUAGAAAUGAAAGGCAAGCACAUCGGUAAUGUCGUUCUCAGAGCAAGACACAAAAAGACAAUUAAAAAACAAGCAAAAAUUACUGAGAACCAUUCCUACAAAGAAGAAAUUACAAAUGUUUGUAAUGCAGUCCUACGACUAGGAUAUCCCUAUCCGAUCUAAACCGGUACAUGUUACACCUAAGUCUAAAUAUCCUACCAAAUUAAAUAAAUAAAUAAAUAAAUAACAGUCAUGGUUAAACCUGUUUAGCUUAGACUAUAAAAUGGUAGAAAAAAAAGUCGCUUUCGGCGGGACUUGCGGUUGUCAAACGGGGCUUGGCAAAACUGAAAAAUCGCGUUUGCCCGCAUUUCCUGAUUUCCAGGGGAGUUUAAAAAACACAAGCCUAGCUAAGGCGGGACCCGCUAUUGUGAAACCAAACUUAGUAUAAGAGCUCCCAGGCCCUGCUAAACUGGUCAUCGCCAAGCCAAAAAAAAAAUCGCAUUCGCUGGUGCCCAGAUUACAGGAGUUAAACGUCUCCUGCGCAGCUAAAGCGGAGCUUACUAGUAGGAAACCAGAACUUGCAAUGACUAAGAAACUUGAGGCAGAGCUAACCCGGGGUUGUUAGGAUUAGAGUUCCGAGGCUACAGGAAAACCGGAAUUGCUGAGAUCUGAGUCACAGGGUGACUCAGCCUCGUUACGAUGAAACAGUAACUUCCUACUACCCAGAAAUCGCAGCCAGGGCCAGACCGGUGUUUGUCCUAAGUCGGAACUUGCUUGGGCUGAGAAAUCAUAUUGUGACUAUUCCACGACUUGAACAAGGGGUAGAAAUCGCAGGCACCACGAAAUAGAAACUUGCUAGGACCAAGAAGCCAACGACGCCCGAAACCGUGGGGUCCUGUCACAGAAACCCCAGCAGCGCAGCCACCGGACUGGGUCUGGAGGCCGAGCCGGAGUCCGUGCGGCGGCGCUGGGAAGAGAUGGCGCCCCGGCAGCUCCCCUGCCACCGGCCCCGAGGAGCGGCUGGCUCCCCCAGCCCAGCGCCGCCGCCGCCCGGUAACUCCAGGCUCCGCGCAACUGGGGCAGCUGCGACUCCGAAUCCCUCACAUCUGCAACCUGGGUGCUGCGGCCACUGAGAAAAUGGAGGCGCAGACCGACGAGCUGUGCCGCGACCAAGACACCUCGGCUGGCGAAGUGGCGGUGCCGGGAGCCUGCGAGUGACGCCAGCCGCCGGGGUUGUCAAGGUCAACAUUCGUUUUGGCGCAGCCAAUGGCGCCGUCACCAGGAAACCAUCGACUCUGAGAAAAAACAGAAGUUCGGCCACGGAGAAACUCCGUACGACAAGGGCUGUGACAGAAAAACCGCCGACUCCGUGCCACUGGCAAAACAGCCAAUGGAAACGCCGGGCGUUGCGACCGUGACACCGGCACUAGAGGGUCUUGGAUGGAGAAAGCGGCGCACGGACACCAGGAAACUAUGUGUAGCACAACUAGCAGAAAACCGUCUGGUCGGCCAUCCGGGAGAAAGUGCGGAUCAGAAACAGGCGACUUCGUGCUGAGAAUUGCUUCAACCCAGGAGGCGGAGGUUGCAGUGAGCCAAGAUGGCACCACUGCACUCCAGGCUGGGCAACAGAGCAAGACUCCAUCUCAAACAAAACAAAACGACAUGAGAGAAAAACGUCAAUCUGUACACCUCUUUAUGACAGAACAACACAGAAAGAGAAAGACAAAGAAAAGACUACUCUAGGAGGAAAUGGAUGAAACAAUAUGAUUCUUACCACAAAGUACCAGAAAGUACACCAGAGUCAAUACACCAGCACCGGUCACACAAAUCCUUUUCUCCCAUCAGUCAAGAUUUUGGACAGGAAAAAUGAACAAAGAGUGAUAUUUACUGUCUACUUGACCAAAUUCCACAGAGAGGGGCUUGGAAUCUGACUGGCAUCCUCAUUAUCUUUGCAAUACAGAUUGAAUUAUUGGGGAUUCAGACAGCAGAGGAAAAAAGUUAAAGCAUGUAAGGUGAGUAACAAUUGUCACUUCCUGACGGGACCAGGAACAUCAGGAUAUUUGGAGAAUCUUAACAAAAGAAGAAUUCAUCCAAAUCUCUAGGUAUUGCAGGUGAAGUAUGAUAGCAAGAUCCUGGUUUGGUUUCCUAGCAUCUGGACGCUUUUAAAAGUCUUUUGAGAUUCCUUAUGAAAAUGUCCAGGUAAGUCAACUUAAAGAGAGCCUACACUGCAGCAUAAGUUCCUAGUUAUCAUUGCUGAAGUAAAGUUAUCAUUGCUGAGAGUACCAUAUCAUCCUCUGGAGAAACUGAACUUCUAUAGAGUUAGUUCUACUUAUAGUGCAAAACAGUGCUUCAAGUUAGAGUCAGCAUAUUUACUGAUUCUAUGCAGUGACCAGUGCUAUGUUUCUCCAGAUUUGUCAAAUUAUACCUUUUCCUUUAAUCGGUGUGGGCUCAUAGUUGUCACAAUUUGUGUACUAGGGGUGAGAGAAACUGUAGUUCUUCUCUCUAAAGAGCUCGAAUUUUGUCUGACCUAGUUUUAUUUUUCUUUCUUUCCUUUUUUUGUUUUUUCGGUGUUUCUUUGUUACCCAGGCUGGAGUGCAAUGGCGCGAUCUCGGCUCACUGCAACAUCCACCUCCCCAGUUCAAGAGAGUCUCCCGCCUCAGCCUCCCAAGUAGCUGAGAUUACAGGCAUGCACCACCACGCCUGGCUAAUUUUGUAUUUUUUAGUAGACACAGGGUUUCUCCAUGUUGGUCAGGCUGGUCUCAAACUCCUGACCUCAGGUGAUCCACCUGCCUCAGCCUCCCAAAGUGCAGGGAUUACAGGUGUUAACCAUGGUGCCCGGCCCUGUCUAACCUACUUUUCAAAACCAAAAAGAUGAGCAAUAAGAGGGCAGUUAAUUAGCAAGAACUCCUUCCCUAAGAUCUCAUUCUAAGGUUGGGAGAUAGGACAACAGACAGGAAGAAAGAUGUCAGAAAAAUACAUUUAAGAGAAAAAUGUUCUUUUGGCAGGCCUAAGAGAUUUCCUAUUAGAGUGUGUUAAGGGUCUCUCCUAGCAUCUUCAGAUUGUUCUGUCAUCACCACCAGUGUUUUCUGAAAGCUUCCUCCCUUUCCCACCCCCUCCCUCCCACUCCAGAAAAACCACACAUAAGGUUAAGCCUCCUAUCCAGUGUCUCCUGGAAGUCUGAGGAAGUCACAGGUGCCUCUGUGGUCUGGGGAUCCCAGUCUUGGAAUGAGAGUGAGUUCUGGGACAAAGGUGAAAUCAGACAUGGUAAAUCAGAUACUUAGCCUGUUGUAGGCUGGUGGUUUAAAUGUUAGGAUUCUGGCAUGAUCUUGCUGUGGUUCAAAUUUCUCUCCUCUUUGACUUUGAGAAGUUAGUUUAAUCCUUGUGUUUCAUUUCCAUUGUUAGUAAAACCAGAUAUAAUUGCAGUACUCAUUAUAUCAGUGAGGUUAAUGGGUAUCCUUCCUUAAGCAUAGUCUAGCACCAUUUAAAAUAAUAAACAUUAACUAGGAUUUUAUUCUAAUUACUCCUUUCCAGCAAUUCUAGGGGCUAUGUUUUCCCCAGUAUUAGUUCUAUAGUGCGUGAAAGCUCAGACUUUCUUCUCUGGAAGCUACUUUCUAAACCCCUUUCACCCUACCUCUUUAUUAACUAAGAUAUCCACCUUACCCUUUCCAUCUUUUCCUGUCACCAACAUUCUCUGUGGCUGUAUCAUGUCCGGAAAAUAAUCAUCAGGCAUUUCACAGUAAAUUGUAAGAGCAUUGCUAGUGUUCACAUGUUUAAUCACGGGAUGAUACUUCUGCUAUCUCAUCCUCAAUUCUGAUACCUCCAGUUCGUGUUUGCUUAUGAAACAGGGACCACUUGAGGGACAGAUAAGUUUGUUACAUGUUGUAGGCACUGAUGUGCUUUUAUUUAAAUACAUUGAUUUUCUGGUUUUAUCGUUUUUCUCAUAGUUGUCACCAACUUGUGGGCUCAUAAUUGUUACCAACUUGUGAAGUAGGGGUGAGAGAAACUGUGGUACUUCUCUCUAAAUAGCUUGAAUUUUGUCUGACCUAGUUUUCAAAAGCAAAAAAAAUGAGCAAUAACAGUGCAGUUAAUUAGUAAGACCUCCUUACCUAAGAUCUCAUUCUAAGGUCUGGGAGAUAGGACAACAGACAGGAAGAGGGGUGUCAGAAAAAUACAUUUACGAGAGAAACGUUCGGCCAGGCACCAUGGCUCAUGUCUGUAAUCCCAGCACUUUGGGAGGCCAAGGCGGGUGGAUCACGAGGUCAAGAGAUCAAGAGCAUCUAAAAAUACAAAAUUAGCUUGGUGUGGUGGUGCGCACCUGUAAUCCCAGCUACUCUGGAGGCUAAGGCAGGAGAAUCACUUGAACCAGGGAGGCGGAGGUUGCAGUGAGCCAAGAUGGUGCCACUGCACUCCAGCCUGGUGACAGAGCAAGACUCCGUCUUAAGAAAGAGAGAGAGAGAGAGAAAUGUUCUUUUGGCAGGCCUAAGACCCUAAGGGAAUACAUGUUAAAAAAAAAAUGGUGGGGGAUAAAGAGAAAAAUCAUUAAAGAUGAAAAAUUGCCAGAAAUUCCCUUGUGUACUUUUCCCCUUGCCUCUUACUUUCUGGUUUCUGAAACAAUAACUGAUCAAUGGGGUGUGCUGAGGGAGUAGAGAAAGAAUGAAUAGCCCUGAAUGCACUGAUAAUAGACUGCUUGCCAAUAACCACUGAUAGAGUUUGAAUACAAUUCUACAAUGGGAAAAAUAUUUUUAAACAUAUGUCUGAUGAAGGAUUGCUAUCCAGAAUAAAUUAACACUUUCUAAAACUCAUCAUCAAAAAACAAACAACCCAUUUCAAAAACAGGCAGAGGACUUGAAUAGACAUUUCUCCAAAAAAGACAUACAAAUGGCCAAUAGCACAUGAAAGAAAAAUGUCCAGCAUCCCUAAUUCUUAGGGAAAUGCAAAUCAAAACUACAAUGAGAUACAGGUACCACUGCACAUCCGCUAGGAUGGCUACUAUUAAAAAAACAAAAGAUAACAAGAGUUGGCAAGGAUACAAGGAGUUUGGAACCCCUAUGUAUGCACUGUUGUAGGCAUGUAAAUUGGUACAGCCAAUGUAGAAAACAGAACCUUCCUCAACAAAUUAAAAAUAGAAUUACCAUAUGACCCAGCAAUUUCACUUCUGGACAUAUACUCAAAAUAAUUUAAGGCAGAGUCUCAGGAAGAUAUUUGUACACCCAGGUUCAUAGCAGCAUUAUGCAUAAUAGCAAAGAUGAAGAAGCAACUCAAGUGUCCAUUCACAUAUGAAAGGAUAAGCAAGACAUGGUACAUAUAGACAGUCAGCCUUUAAAAAGAGGGAAAUGCUAACAGGCUACAUCACAGAUGAACCUAAGGGACAUUAUGCUAAACGAAAUAAGCCAGUCACAAAAAGACAAAUACUGUAUGAUUCCACUUACAUGGGGUACUUAGGGUAGUCAACAUCAUAGACACAAUGUAGAAUGGUGGUUGCCAGGGAUGGGGGAGAGGAAAGUGGGGAGUUAUUCUUUAAAGGAUACAGAGUUUCACUUUUAGAAGACACAAAGAGUUGUGGAGAUGGAUGAUGACAAUUGUUGCAAAGCAUUAUGAACUGUAGGCUUAAUGGUUAAGAUGGUAAAUUUUAUGUGUAUUUUACAGAGAGAGAGAGAGAACUGGGCACUCGCUCUUGCAUUCUCUUCACUAACAUCCCAAAUGUUCAUUUAUAGAUAGUCGCCCAAAGCGUUUUUCUCCUGGCAGAACAGAAUUCCAGUCUCUGCUCAGGAGUAGCAAUCUGAUUUGGGGAAAUGAUAAACUUUGUAUAAACCAGAGUCCCCCACAACAGCUUUCUCUUCAUAGGCCCAGUACUAAUUUUUUUUUUCAUCCCCUGAGACAAACUAUUUGACUCUGGAUAGUUUUCACAUGAGAUGAUAGAAUUUGAUGUUAAUGUCAUUAAUUCCAUUUUCAUAUGCAAUUUGCUUCUAGGAUUAAUGUCACCAGCCAGGUUCCUAACCUAUGUGGAACACGCAGGGCCAGAAGAGUAUAAAAUUGCAAAAGCUGGUGGCUCCUGAGUCCAAGAGUUCCUGGUUUUCCUGGACACAAGCGAUAGCGCAGCACUUUCUUCCCCAUGUGCCAGAGGCCUGUGGUUCUGCAGAAGAGGACCGGAAACCCCAGACACUGCAAGCCCUGAGCUCAGUAUAUUCUGGGGCCUGUCCUCUCACUUUCUAUUUCUUGUGUGGCCCUCAUACUCGUGCCAGCUAUCCUGGAACAGCCAAGAAUUCAAUUGUGACCUGCUUCCUCCCUCAACCUCUUCUCCCCAACCUCCCCAUCACACUUAUUCUUUGGGAAGAUUUGUAAAAAUUAAGGUUAUUAUAUCCAUGUAACUUUCUGUAUUUCUUUUAAACUCCUUGUGCUACUAAGUCACACGGCUUUGACUCCUGGAUCUAAAAAAGUCACCAACUCUGGCUAAAUCUUAAACAUUGACAGCAAUUGAAGCCUCAUCUUCAGACCUAGGAGAAGAUGAAAAUCAGAGUAAGCUGCAGUCAUGAGACAUGGGUCCAGAAAUUAAAACUCUUCAACCCCUCUAGUCCCAGGGACUAUUGCAGAAGAAGUGGGUGUGUGAGCUUGUAAGGAUCCAUUUUAAGAGAUAAAAUUAGUUCAGAGUUUCUCUAUAAAUUAAACAGUUGCAUUUGUUGUUGUUUUGAGACAGUCCAGUUAUGUCAUCCGAGCUGGAGUGCAGUGUCAUUAUCCUGGCUCACUGCAACCUCUGCCUGGCAAGACUCCUGGCACCUCAGCCUCCCAAGUAGCAGGGACUACGGGGGUGCACCACCAUGCUUGACUAAUUUUUGUAUUUUUAUAGAGACAAGGUUUCACCAUGUUGCCCAAGCUUGUCUCCAACUCCUGAGCUCAAGAUAGCCGCCUGCCUAGGCCUUCCAAAGUGCUGAGUUUACAGGCAUGAGCCACCGUGGCCAGCCUAUAAAUUAAACAUUAAUGUCAAAGGAACACUGAUGCAAGACAAGCAUGUGGGUCCCUGUGUCAGAUUAACAAUGUUUUCUUGGAGCAUUAACACAUUCUUUACUUAAAAAUUAUGAAAGGUUAUGAGAAGGUUUACAAAAAUUAUAUCUUAUUCUCAAGAUGAUGAAAAUUUAAUAGAUUUGUCUGUAAAAUUUAAUUGACUUCAUCCUGUCUUUAUUAGGUUUUAUUGUUUGGGAAAGUAAGUCUCAAAGAGUAAAGUUUUUGACUUUUUGUUUUUAAAAUAUUUGAGUUACCACUUUGACUAAAUGAGUGACUUAUUUUACAAUGACCUGUGAUGCUAUUUUGUGAUAUUGUGUUUUCAACCUUUGAUGUUUGACAAACUUUCCAAACUCUAAAUCUAAAUUCAGUGUUUUGGUCUCAUUAAUUUUUUUGACAUUACAUCCCCUGAAAUCCAAAGAGACAUAUUUGGCUUAUUGCUAUAAUAAAAUCAUCAUUAUCAAAUAUGAAAUGAUGUGUAACCUUCUUUGGCUUGUAUUUGUGUAAAUGUGUUAUUAGUAUGUGUUCCAAAAUUGUAUGAAAUUCUUGUGAUUCUGAUAUGUCUUAGACUAUGUUAUCAGAACUAAUUAUGAUUAUUAUAUUAAACUGUUAUGUGCCAUAGAUAUAACCAAA